rnacentral:tRNA from 1 species
GCAGCUUGGUGUUUGUCCGCAUGUUAUGUUUUGGUCAUAAAGGGAAUUUGUUGUUAGCUGUA